GUCGUCGUGGCCGAGUGGUUAAGGCGACAGAGAAUCAAAAACAGGUUCGAAUCCUGUCGGCGACG
rnacentral:tRNA from 1 species